UACGUAGGGGGCAAGCGUUGUCCGGAUUUAUUGGGCGUAAAGAGCGUGUAGCGGUCAGGUAGGUCCGUUGUGAAAACUCGAGGCUCAACCUCGAGACGCCGAUGGAAACCAUCUGACUAGAGUCCGGAAGAGGAGAGUGGAAUUCCCGGUGUAGCGGUGAAAUGCGUAGAGAUCGGGAGGAACAUCAGUGGCGAAGGCGGCCAUCUGGGACAACACUGACGCUGAAGCACGAAAGCGUGGGGAGCAAACAGG
rnacentral:rRNA from 1 species